AAGCAAACAAAUAUACCCUAAAUCCCUAAUAAUACUGAACAACAUUCAUUUAGUUAAAUUUUAUAUCCCUUUUAAUUGUGAGAUUUCAAAGCUUUUAUAUGGUUCAAAGAUGAAGCUUGAUUCAAUUGUUUUCGAGACAUCCAUGUCUACAAUUGGCUUUGGCUCUAGCAACAAUAUGCUUGAUGGUUUCUUUAUCGUGCCCUCCUCUGAUCUUCCCCUAACAACAUAUUUCGAUGGGUUUGAGAAAGAUGUUUGACAGAUGGUGAAGCCUGCGUAAGGAGGAACAACCACACUCGCCUUUUUCUUCUAAGGUAUCAUUGCCGCUGCUGAUUCUCGUGCUAAGAGAGAAGGCAAAUCAAUCAAGGCUCCCAAUCGAGAUGGAGAAGAUCGAUUAUACUAAGAAAGCCAGCGACUUGUCGAUGUGUUUCUUCUUGCGUAAUGGGUUCGUUCGUACUUAUGCCGGUGUGCUUUCAACUACCCUGUUUCAUUCUCAGUGAAUUGGUAUCUUCACCCUUCUUUAAAGAUCUCAAAGUGUAAGGUUUUUAUGUUUCAACAAUGGCUUCACAUUCAAUUGUUUCUUUGUCUUCCCAAAUUGUUAUGUUGAUGAAACGUUAGUAUUGCAUGCAUACCUUUUUGACUCAAAUGUUUUAAGGAAACCAAGUGUUAACCAUUUUAUCUGUAUGUGUGGGAUUUGGCUCAGUUUAAUCUAAUUUGAGUCUUGAAAACCUGAAAAGGUUUCCAUCACAUUGUUGCUUCGACCUGUUAUCUGACACGGCCUUGAGGAGAAGAACUUCUGCAGAGGUCCUUUUCCACCUUUUAUUCUCCCUGGUAAAGGAAACAGAGCCUGAGAUGGGGGCGUCACAGUUCGUGGAGAAGGGGGCGUCGCAGUUCAUGGAGAUGCAACAAGGGGAAUGGUCUGAUAACUCCCUUACAGAGAAAAUUGCAUUACUGUCCAGAACCUGCAGUCUCUGCCAUUACCCGGUAAUUCUGAUCCAGAACCUUCUAUUCUCCCUGGUAAUUCUCUUUCUCUGUGUAUGUAUUUCAUGCUUAAAAAAUAGAAUUUUUCUUUCUUUGAAACUUGGAAUUUAUUUUAUGUACAAUUUGCUCUUUUGUUGAUAAACUCAUUGUUAUUAGAUAUGCAUUUUAAUCGCACAUGUUCCAUAUUGCAGUGCUUCAGUGUCAAUGGUCUUUGUCACAAAGCUAUGAUUAUGCUUAUGCAAACAAAUACACUAGAUGACUUUUCUAACACUUCCAUAUUUUUCAAAUGAAUAUUAUAAGGAAUAUCUUUUGACCUUCUAAAUUUUGUGGCAUACACUUAUUAUAUAUAUACAAGCUUAUAUUUAGCAAUCUAAAGAUCACGAUUUCAACCAAAAAAAUUUACUAAUGUCUUUUAAUAUGCAAAUCAUAGAAUUGAUGAAAUAUGUGAAACCUUUUAAAACAGGUUGCUUAAUCUAUACUAUUAAAACAUCUAUACUAUUAAAGCAGAUGACUGUUUAUGAAUCUGUCCCUGAAAUUUUUAAGUAAUUACAAAAUUUGCUUAUACCUUUUUCCAGCAUAAUUUGCAACCAAUCAAAAGUCAUUAUUUUGCAACUAAAAUUAAAUAGUAUUUAAUAUAAUUCAGUUCUUAGCCUUUUUUGAAUAUUUUGUUUCCUAAAUGUUUGCACCAUAUCUUUCCAAAAAAAUCUUUCACAUUAUUAAUUAUUUGAA